rnacentral:rRNA from 1 species
CGAUUAAGCCAUGCGAGUCAAGGUGUCUUCGGACGCCGGCGUACGGCUCAGUAACACGUAGGUAACCUACCCUCAGGACUGAGAUAACCCCGGGAAACUGGGGCUAAUAUUAGAUAGAUAAAAGGUACUGGAAUGUUCUUUUAUCCAAAGCUUUUGCGCCUGAGGAUGGGCCUGCGUCCGAUUAGGUUGUUGGUGGGGUAAUGGCCCACCAAGCCUGCGAUCGGUACGGGCAGUGAGAGCUGAAGCCCGGAGUUGGGGACUGAGACAAGGCCCCAGGCCCUACGGGGCGCAGCAGGCGCGAAACCUCUGCAAUGCGGGAAACCGUGACAGGGGGAUCCCAAGUGCUCAUGCAUUGCAUGGGCUGUUCUUUGGUCUAAGUAACCAGAGGAGUAAGGGCUGGGCAAGACCGGUGCCAGCCGCCGCGGUAAUACCGGCAGCUCAAGUGGUAGCCGCGAUUAUUGGGCCUAAAGCGUUCGUAGCCGGAUAAGUAAGUCUUUGGUUAAAUCCUACAACUCAACUGUGGGAAAUCUAGGGAUACUACUUGUCUUGAGACCGGGAGAGGUUAGAGGUACUCCUAGGGUAGGGGUGAAAUCCUGUAAUCCUAGGGGGACCACCUGUGGCGAAGGCGUCUAACUGGAACGGGUCUGACGGUGAGGGACGAAACCUAGGGGAGCGAGCCGGAUUAGAUACCCGGGUAGUCCUAGGCGUAAAUGAUGCGAGUUAAGUGUGGGGACAUCUACGAGAUGGCCCUGUGCUGUAGGGUAGCCGUUAAACUCGCCGCCUGGGGAGUACGGUCGCAAGGCUGAAACUUAAAGGAAUUGGCGGGGGAGCA